rnacentral:rRNA from 1 species
ACGAACGCUGGCGGCGUGCUUAACACAUGCAAGUCGAACGGGUCUGCCCUGUUUUUUGCGGGGUGGGUCAGUGGCGAACGGGUGAGUAACACGUGAGUAACCUGCCCCUCACUUCUGGAUAACCGCUUGAAAGGGUGGCUAAUACGGGGUGUUCUGGCUGUGCCGCAUGGUGUGGCUGGGAAAGAUUCACUUUUGUGGUGUUUUGGUGGGGGAUGGGCUCGCGGCCUAUCAGCUUGUUGGUGGGGUGAUGGCCUGCCAAGGCUUUGACGGGUAGCCGGCCUGAGAGGGUGGGCGGUCACACUGGGACUGAGAUACGGCCCAGACUCCUGCGGGAGGCAGCAGUGGGGGGUAUUGCACAAUGGGCGGAAGCCAGAUGCAGCGACGUCGCGUGAGGGAUGGAGGCCUUCGGGUUGUGAACCUCUUUCGCCGGUGAAGAAGGUCCUGCUCUUUGUGGUGGGGUUGACGGUAGCCGGGUUAUGAAGCGCCGGCUAACUACGUG